rnacentral:rRNA from 1 species
CCGCGGCCUAUCAGCUUGUUGGUGGGGUAAUGGCCUACCAAGGCGACGACGGGUAGCCGACCUGAGAGGGUGACCGGCCACACUGGGACUGAGACACGGCCCAGACUCCUACGGGAGGCAGCAGUGGGGAAUAUUGCACAAUGGGCGGAAGCCUGAUGCAGCGACGCCGCGUGAGGGAUGACGGCCUUCGGGUUGUAAACCUCUUUCGACAGGGACGAAGCGUGAGUGACGGUACCUGUAGAAGAAGCACCGGCCAACUACGUGCCAGCAGCCGCGGUAAUACGUAGGGUGCGAGCGUUGUCCGGAAUUACUGGGCGUAAAGAGCUUGUAGGCGGUUCGUCGCGUCGAUCGUGAAAACUGGCGGCUCAACUGYSAGCUUGCGGUCGAUACGGGCGGACUAGAGUACUUCAGGGGAGACUGGAAUUCCUGGUGUAGCGGUGAAAUGCGCAGAUAUCAGGAGGAACACCGGUGGCGAAGGCGGGUCUCUGGGAAGUAACUGACGCUGAGAAGCGAAAGCGUGGGUAGCGAACAGGAUUAGAUACCCUGGUAGUCCACGCCGUAAACGGUGGGUACUAGGUGUGGGUUUCCUUCCA